rnacentral:rRNA from 1 species
UGGGGAAUAUUGGACAAUGGGGGAACCCUGAUCCAGCAAUGCCGCGUGAGUGAAGAAGGCCUUCGGGUUGUAAAGCUCUUUCAGACGGAAAGAAACGGUUACGGCUAAUACCCGUGACUAAUGACGGUACCGUAAGAAGAAGCACCGGCUAACUACGUGCCAGCAGCCGCGGUAAUACGUAGGGUGCGAGCGUUAAUCGGAAUUACUGGGCGUAAAGCGUGCGCAGGCGGUUUGGUAAGACAGAUGUGAAAUCCCCGGGCUUAACCUGGGAAUGGCAUCGCAAACUGUGUUACUAGAGUACAGGAGAGGUAAGUGGAAUUUCCGGUGUAGCAGUGAAAUGCGUAGAGAUCGGAAGGAACACCAGAGGCGAAGGCGGCUUACUGGCCUGCUACUGACACUGAGGCACGAAAGCGUGGGGAGCAAACAGGAUUAGAUACCCGAGUAGUCCCUGAGCGGGCUGGCAAGGCGCAU